UACGGGGGGGGCAAGCGUUGUUCGGAAUUACUGGGCGUAAAGGGCUCGUAGGCGGCCAACUAAGUCGGACGUGAAAUCCCUCGGCUUAACCGGGGAACUGCGUCCGAUACUGGAUGGCUUGAGGUUGGGAGAGGGAUGCGGAAUUCCAGGUGUAGCGGUGAAAUGCGUAGAUAUCUGGAGGAACACCGGUGGCGAAGGCGGCAUCCUGGACCAACACUGACGCUGAGUGAGCGAAAGCCAGGGGAGCAAACGGG
rnacentral:rRNA from 1 species